rnacentral:rRNA from 1 species
UACGAAGGGGGCUAGCGUUGCUCGGAAUGACUGGGCGUAAAGGGCGCGUAGGCGGACGGCUUUGUCGGGCGUGAAAUUCCAGGGCUUAACCUUGGGGCUGCGUUCGAGACGGGUUGUCUAGAGUUUGGAGGAGGGUCGUGGAAUUCCCAGUGUAGAGGUGAAAUUCGUAGAUAUUGGGAAGAACACCGGUGGCGAAGGCGGCGACCUGGUCCUUGACUGACGCUGAGGCGCGAAAGUGUGGGGAGCAAACAGG